GAACCGGUAGCUCAGUUGGUAGAGCAAUUGGCUUUUAACCAAUUGGUCAAGGGUUCGAGCCCCUUCCGGUUUACCA
rnacentral:tRNA from 1 species